CACGUAGGGCGCAAGCGUUGUCCGGAAUUAUUGGGCGUAAAGAGCUCGUAGGCGGUCUGUUGCGUCCGCUGUGAAAACCCAGGGCUUAACCCUGGGCUGGCAGUGGAUACGGACAGACUAGAGGUAGGUAGGGGAGAAUGGAAUUCCCGGUGUAGCGGUGAAAUGCGCAGAUAUCGGGAAGAACACCCGUGGCGAAGGCGGUUCUCUGGGACGGUACUGACGCUGAGACGCGAAAGCGUGGGGAGCGAACAGG
rnacentral:rRNA from 1 species